rnacentral:lncRNA from 1 species
UCACAUGAUACAACCAAAAAGGGUAAAAGUACAACAAUGAAACGACUUGUCAUUCCCAAUGGCCAAUUUUAUAGGAUUCAAGUCAGACAUGGGAAUCAAGAGUAUUGAAGCUGUCGGCCAUAAAACAUAGUUACUGAUUGAUGGAAAUGGCCAAAAUAUAAGAUAGAUAAGAAGAAAGUAUACUCACUUUUUGAAAGUGACUUUCUGCGGUAAAACUUAAUGAGCUUAAGGAACAAUAUUUCAUAAGCAGGAAAGUCAUUAACUUUGGAAAGAUUGUUCCCUCUUGAAGAUAUUUCAUAAGUUUUUCUUUGAAUCGACACCAGAUUCACUAUUUUCAGCGAUAGGACGUUAUGGUUUGUAGUUUCAGAGUGAAAGUAUUGAAGAAACAAUCGUUUGCAAAAAGUGAAAAAAAGAAGUCGAGGUUUGAGAGCGAGAUAAGGGUG